CGCUAGUAAUCGCGAAUCAGAAUGUCGCGGUGAAUACGUUCCCGGGUCUUGUACACACCGCCCGUCACACCAUGGGAGUCAGUAAUGCCCGAAGUCAGUGACCCAACCGUAAGGAGGGAGCUGCCGAAGGCAGGACCGAUAACUGGGGUGAAGUCGUAACAAGGUAGCCGUAUCGGAAGGUGCGGCUGGAUCACCUCCUUUCUAAGGAA
rnacentral:rRNA from 1 species